GACGAACGCUGGCGGCGUGCCUAAUACAUGCAAGUAGAACGCACAGUUUAUACCGUAGCUUGCUACACCAUAGACUGUGAGUUGCGAACGGGUGAGUAACGCGUAGGUAACCUGCCUGGUAGCGGGGGAUAACUAUUGGAAACGAUAGCUAAUACCGCAUAAUAUUAAUUAUUGCAUGAUAAUUAAUUGAAAGGUGCAAUUGCACCACUACCAGAUGGACCUGCGUUGUAUUAGCUAGUAGGUGAGAUAACGGCUCACCUAGGCGACGAUACAUAGCCGACCUGAGAGGGUGCUCGGCCACACUGGGACUGGGACACGGCCCCGGCUCCUACGGGAGGCAGCAGUAGGGAAUCUUCGGCAAUGGACGAAAGUCUGACCGAGCAACGCCGCGUGAGUGAAGAAGGUUUUCGGAUCGUAAAGCUCUGUUGUAAGAGAAGAACGGGUGUGAGAGUGGAAAGUUCACACUGUGACGUUAUCUUACCAGAAAGGGACGGCUAACUACGUG
rnacentral:rRNA from 1 species